rnacentral:rRNA from 1 species
GACGUAGGGCGCGAGCGUUGUCCGGAAUUAUUGGGCGUAAAGAGCUCGUAGGCGGUUUGUCGCGUCUGCUGUGAAAACCCGAGGCUCAACCUCGGGCCUGCAGUGGGUACGGGCAGACUAGAGUAUGGUAGGGGCAGAGGGAAUUCCUGGUGUAGCGGUGAAAUGCGCAGAUAUCAGGAGGAACACCGAUAGCGAAGGCAGCACUCUGGUACGUGACUGACGCUGAGACGCGAAAGCGUGGGGAGCAAACGGG